UCAUUUCGUACGGGUGGGGGAGGAGGGGAUUAUGUUCGAUCCGCCGAUCGAAAGAUCACGUGGCGCGUCUCGCGGACACAUGAACGGUUUGGUUAGUUUUUCCAGCCAAGGAAAAUGGCCCACGUCGUUCCGGGUAAUCGAUGGUGAUGCAUGGAAUGCGAUUCGACACGCUCCAUAAUCGUGUGCCUCGUCAAACUUGGAGCGUCGUUUAUUAAAAGCGACGCGGAAAAGGGUAGGGAGAGGGGGGAGGGGGUGGUGGCUCGUUCGUUCGGGCCAACUGGCGAGUAAACGAAACUUUCAUCGAGGUUGAAUGGGCGAACGGGGUGAAAAGAGAAACGAGUUUAAGUGAUUUCAGUGAUUUUACAAGUCGAUGAGUUUGAUCAUCGAUUGAUCUUUCAUUAAGGAAAGUGUUUCUGCGAUAUUUGAUAUUUAUUUGAAAUCGAUGGAAGUGGAGUAGUUUUUUUUUUUUUUUUUUCAUUAUUAU